rnacentral:rRNA from 1 species
GACGAACGCUGGCGGCGUGCUUAACACAUGCAAGUCGAACGGAAAGGCCUCUUUCGGGGGGUACUCGAGUGGCGAACGGGUGAGUAACACGUGAGUAACCUGCCCUUGACUUUGGGAUAACUUCAGGAAACUGGGGCUAAUACCGGAUAGGAGCUCCUGCUGCAUGGUGGGGGUUGGAAAGUUUCGGCGGUUGGGGAUGGACUCGCGGCUUAUCAGCUUGUUGGUGGGGUAGUGGCUUACCAAGGCUUUGACGGGUAGCCGGCCUGAGAGGGUGACCGGCCACAUUGGGACUGAGAUACGGCCCAGACUCCUACGGGGGGCAACAGUGGGGAAUAUUGCACAAUGGGUGGAAGCCUGAUGCAGCAACGCCGGGUGCGGGAUGACGGCCUUCGGGUUGUAAACCGCUUUCGCUCAUGACGAAGCUUUGUGUGACGGUAGUGGGUAAAGAAGCACCGGCUAACUACGUG